rnacentral:snRNA from 1 species
UAAAAGGGCGUUUGUCACUUACAUGACAUGCAAUCUACUGGGUCUUCGGGUCCAGGGUUUGUAGGGUAUGGCCAUCAAGACAUACUCAACGUAUAAUAUUUGGAAACGUGGGGCAGUUGGCUAUAUUACUGUAAAUUUCUAU